UACGGGGGGGCAAGCGUUGUCCGGAUUUACUGGGCGUAAAGAGCGCGUAGGCGGAAGCUUAAGUGUGGUUUGAAAGCCCCCGGCUCAACCGGGGAAUGUGAUUGCAAACUGGGCUUCUUGAGGGGGAUAGAGGAGAGUGGAAUUCCUGGUGUAGCGGUGAAAUGCGUAGAGAUCAGGAGGAACACCCGUGGCGAAGGCGAGUCCCUGGACAACACCUGACACUGAGGCACGAAAGCUAGGGGAGCAAACAGG
rnacentral:rRNA from 1 species